UGAAGUUCAUUGGUUUAAUUUUGAAAUGUUGAUGUUUUUUUGUGUUGAUUGUUUGUGCUCAUUUUGACCUUUGUUACUAUUGCUUUCUACCAUGUUCAAUUCACCGCUGUUCUGCACAUACGUGCUUGCAUGUGUCCAGUGGUUAUAUUCAUGAGGCAUUCAAGGGACUUGUACUAAAAGAUACAACUCAGUUCAGUAUGAAUUGCAUAUUUUAAUGGCUGAAAAUAUAUCUGAUCUCUUUCAGAACAUCACCUGAUCACCUGUCUGUAAUCCACCUGCUUAAGUUCUGGUCAAGGGGCUCAUCGGCUAUCAAGUUAUAGAUUUCAGUGGCUAAUAGAUGACACUGCUGAGGGCAGAUGAGAGUGCAUCCUCAAAGGUCUGUGUGUACCUAAAUGAAGAUCCAGAGAAGCUGGUGAGGGAGUACAUGGACGUCGAUGAAUGUGCAGAAAUGGCCAAAGCCGAGACUGUCCUCGGAUUCGUCAUUUGAGCAGAGGGUGCAGAGGCUGCCGAUGCACAUCUGGAUGUUGGGAUUGUCUUGGAGGAGGUGGAAGUUAUGAACAGCUUGGGCAGUGUAUCUUCUGCAAUAGUGAUGCUGCUGGGACUAAUCUACGCACUAAACUUGAGCUACCCUCAAGUUUACAUUUAUCGCCGCACCAUGUUAGGUACAUUCUGUGCGAAAAAAGUCUGCAGAGCCAUAUGUAGUGUACAAAGCUAAACUUGAGCUACCCUCAAGUUUAGUGCGUUCAGCACUCAACUUGCUCAGUAACUCAAGCAUACCUUUGAAGUAAUACAGAAAAUAAUAAUGAAAUUGGAUGGAAAGAACUUAUCAAAGAAAGCACAAGUUCUCAAUAUGAAACUCGCCGCUAAGUUGAGUUAAGUUUCAUAUGGAAAAUCAGUGUUUAAAGACUGCAGUAGAAAAGAUUUAUAUUGUUACAGUUCUCUAAGUUGAGCAACUAUACUGACAUGUUUUAUGUUGUAAAGAAUUGGCUGGGAAAUGAAACUGUAACCUUUUUGUAGUUGUUUUUUUAUUUCAAUGUCCAACUCAGCUGUGUUUUGUGCUGUGUAAAAAAACGAUGUAUAAC